AGCAAACAUAGAGUUCUGGCUGAGAAAGAAAACCCUUCACUGGGGUCAAGCAAGAUGCACGCAGCAAGGGCUGGAAGGGAAAGGAAUACUUGAGAUGUGGAAGACAUCUCUGGGUAGGUCAUGACUCCCUCCAUGACAGCCCUACAGUCUUGAGAGGCCCUCCAGGUCUGUCUCCUGCAUGUGCGUCUUAUCUCCUUGACUCAGUGGCAUGGUUUUGCUGCUUCAGAAGUGGGAGAAUAGCAGCACGCCAAAUCCUAGAGUAUCUUGGACUAGAACAACAACAAGAAGUGGGCUCCUGAGGGGUGUGUCCUGUCCCACUUUAUUUGGCAGGGAAUAAUUCCCCCCAGCAAAGCUGUUGCCUCUCCUGUUCGGUGGCUGUCUGUUGUAGCUGCAAUGACUCUUUCUGGCAUGCCUUCUCUCUCUUCAGACAUGCCAGAAUCGAGGAAAGGAGCUGUGCUCCACCAUGCCCUCUCUCAGCGAGGUUAUUUAGAUGUAUGCUUCACCAAUUCCACAUGCGUUAGACUUGUUUCCAAACAGAUCUUUCCAAAGGUUUGCUGCCUUUAUGAGGAACCUUAUUCACUCCUUGGGCAAAGUAAUUUUAAAGAGGGCGACAGCUAAUAUUUCACAUGCUGCUCACCACAAUUUUUAAUACCCGCUCUUACUUUGCCUGCCUUCAGAUUUUAGCAGUGCAGCAAUAAAAGUGUGACGAUCGACAGGAUGCCCUCAGUAGGUACUGGAACAGCUGUUAAGCCCUUUGCUAAGAAUGGGCUGUAUGAAAAUCUUAAGCAGGAAGCUCUGCAUCUCUGCUGGCAGGUGGUACUUAAACUUCUGUGCAUGCUUAGCGUCUCAAGGGCACAUUUUCAUCCCACACUCUACAAGAUGAAUGGAAAUAAUAAAACCCAAAGAGCGAGAGAGAGAAUGGGGGAGAAAAUAUUGUUCCAAGUGUUGUUGGUGCUUAGAGAAAUAGCUAACACGGAUUCACUUCAUUCUUUGUUGGUCAUAUAUUGCAGGUAAAAUUGGAUGCCGUACCAUGCCCAAAGGAGACAGGGGCAACAUACAACAGAUGUUGUGCAACUUUAUUCCAUUCCACAAGCAAAAUAAUGCUCAGUGUGUGUGCAUGCAGUACAGUUGUACCUUGUUUUGCGGCCAGGAUCUGUUCCAAAAAGGACACAGGGCAAAGCGCUGCAUCUGUGCAUGCGUGUGUGGCAAACCAGGAAGUAACCCGUUCCGGUUCUUCCGGGUUUGCCGCGGACGUUUGCUGGAAUGGACGCUAGACAAGGUGGACGUUCGUGGAGGUAUUACUGUAUGUGUGACAAGACAUCAUCAUAUUAGUACUUCCACAACCGAUGAAUGAAAAAGCAGCCACUUAGGUUGUAGAAGUGCAAAUAUGGUGACAUCUGGUCACCUAUACCACAUGCGCGCACACUGAGCAUCAUUUGAGGGAGAGCCAUGAAUAAGCACUUGCCUGUGUGUCUACCCAUAAUGUGUUGCCUGGCCAAAGACUGAAUGCGGGGAAUGUUCAUAUGUGAGGGACCCAAAAAAAUCCAUUGCAUUACUUCCUCCACAACAAUGGGAACAAAACAGAUGCCAGACUGAGGCAGGGGAAUUCUGAACUUCAGACUGCUGUUUGGGGAGGGCAUUAUUUUAGUGCAGUGCUUUGGAAAAACCCCCACCUCACUUCAGGUAGUAAGCUAGCAGUUUUGGAAGAAUGGUUCAGAAUAGGCCUCUGCCAGAUGUACUAGUUUACUGCAUGCAUGGAAUGUUUACAGGAAAGACCCAUUAAAACUAAGACUCUGCCUUGUCCACGCUGCAAUCUGUACAGCCCAGGCAGGGCUUUUUUCAGCCGGAACUCACUGGAAGUCAGUUCCAGCACCUGUCAGGUGGAUGCCAUUGCCAUUAUAAGAGGUGUUCAUGGGGAGUUCCGGUACCUCAUUUUCUGGAAAAAUAGCAUUGAGUCCAGGGUUCUCCCACCUCAGUCUGCAAAAUGUGCAGAUCAGCUCAGGAGAUGCAAACGUCCCCCAACUUCUCCAUGCAGACGGUUGCUCCUUCCCUCCUUGCCCCAUUCAGCGGUCUCCAGGGACCCUUCACAACAGGGUCACGGAUUGUACCUCUGUUGCUGCACCAUUCUUGCCUUAGGCUCUAUGGAGAUUGUUAAUAUUCUGCAUAUGGAAGCAAUUUUGAUGCCUAAAAACUGACUCUUCUUUGAAAUGAAAAUUUCUUUGCUCCAAAAAUAUGGUUCAAAAGCUUUACUACAGAACGCUACUCCACAGCAACUUUAAACAAUAAAGCAACAUUCGGAUACGUGCAUAAGAUCCUAUGCCGAUCUCACAUAGGUAAACUAUAAUAGAUUAUGAAUAUCUUCCAUCCAGAUCUAAAAAACAAAGUUCUGUCUCUCUUCCAACAGCCUGAGGCUGUUUUCCUACAGAGAGAAUUAGCACGUCCAUUCUUUCCAGUAGCUUGAGAACAAAGACUCACUCCAACCAAGACGGAGGUCCACAUAUGCGCAGACUUGUAACACAAUUCACCUUGUCAAUGAGGCACAGAAAUAGUAACAUUAGGCUCUCCACUUCAGCACUCCUUUGGCUUCAAUGGGAAUUUCCACGCCAUGCUUCACAAUAUACACACAGACAUAUUACAGAGUUAUUUUCCAUUUCAAUGUGCAUUAAACAAUUAUAUUUAACAGGCUCUACCUCUUUCUCUGAAUAAAUUCUCUUGUGGCUUGGGCAAUGUGCCUUACUUUAUAACUGAAGUCAGGCAGCUCAUCAUUUUUCUCACCUGGAUUGGGAAUUCAUUGCAUAUUGUAUCGGUUGUGUGGCAUCAACUUGCCAUGGGAGAGAUUUGCCAGGAAGUCCACAAUGCACUGUGUCAAUGAAAUGACAGUGCAGAUUUAUGCUCAGGGCAGCGUAAUAUGCAUGGCCAAUUUGCCAUGCACACAUCGCAGAAGAAGCAACCAGCAAAGAGUAGCAAUGUCUGCUGAGCACUGAUACCUUGGAGAUCUCUCAGAAAGCUAGCUAUUUUUUGUAUAAUGCCAAAACUACAAUCCAAAAUUAGACAAAUCUUUUUCAUAGGUUUUGGGUACAUUGACAACUUCUCUCUUUGCAACUCAUUUUCUUUGGUUGCUUGGUUAUUUACAGGAUUUAUUCCCUUCACCAUAAGGUCUCAGUGUGGGUUACCACAAAGCAAUUUAAAAUCAAAUAAAAUGAAUACAUAAACAAAAAUAAAAGCAGAUCCUAAACACAUAUCUCAGCUGUCAAAGACCAGGGGGGAAAGAUGCAUUUUCAGCCUACAAUGAAAGCUGUAUAAUGAGGAUGUUAGCUACACCUCUAGGGCAAGGGAAUUUUGGGGGGGGGGGGGCUGCUUCAGAUGAAGACCCAUGUACAGCACAUUGCAAUAAUUCUAUCCGCAGGUUGUCAGAGCAUGGAGCACAGGAAACAAGCAGCACUUUGAGACUGUGCUUCGAAAUAAAAGGAAAGCCAGUGCAGAUGAAAGAAAGGAUGAUGAAACAGUUGGGGGUUAGAGAUGGAGAGUGAAAUGUGCAGAGAUCAUCUUUGGGGCUCCCUCCCCCCUUUGAGUGACAGCCUCUCGCUGCAGCCACCCCUUUGCCUUUGAAGCAUAGAAGAGAGGCAACCUCUCCUGACAUCAUUCAAUUUGCUGGAAGCCUUGUGUGUGUCACCAUUCCGUUUAUGCUCCCGACAAAUUAAUCAUCAGUCAACUUGAGCAUCUGCACACAUGCUGAAUGUGUAAUGGGCUGUCCUCUGCUUGCUUGACAAACAGGGAGCAAGUUUGAUUAACAUGUAAUUGAAAGAGGAGGAAGAGGAGGAGGAAGAAGAAGGGUGAGCAAUACGCUCAGGUACUCAGACAUUCUGCUGCAGUCCAAGGUUUGCUGAACCAGGAAAAGUAAGCCGCAUUUGAGCUCAGGGGAUCUUAUUUUUGAAUAAAGUUGUUAGGAUGGAGCUAGGGGUGGGAGCAUCUAACACCUUCGGCUUCUCUCCAUUUCUUAUUUUUUCAACCUUAAAUUCAGGUGUGGGUCGAACACCAGAAUGUUGAAAUGAAGCUGAAUGUUGGAAGAUUCAGGCCAGAAUGUUGGAAGAUUCAGGCCAGAUUGAAGAAAGCAUUUCUACAUGCUGCACAUAGUGAAACUAUGGAAAACACACACACAAGGCAGUGAUGGACAUCAACUAGCCUUUUCAAAGAAGAUGGGCAACAAGAUUAUCAACAGCCACUUGCCAUAAUAGCUGUGCCUCAACAUUUGGAUGCAGAAAUUAUUCUGAAUUACCUGUUGCCGGAAACCACAGCGGCAGUGGUGGGGAGAGUGCACUUGUGCUCGAAUCCUGUAGUGGCCACUGUGAGAACAGGAUGCUGGACCACAUGGGCCACUGGUCUGACCCAGCAGGACUCGUCUUGUGUCCCUAUGUUGCCCUCUGCUCUAGCUAAGCCCCGAUGCUAGGCGUUCCAUAUAGAGUUGGAGGAGAUAUUCAAUUCUCAACUAAAGGCAAAUCUACAUAAUUUGCACUUUCCAAAACGAUGUGAAAGGUGAUACGCAGGCGUCCUUUAAAAUCCGUGCUCCCUUGGGUUUAGCAAUGCAGUUCUCUGACCAAGUAAUGUGUACAAAAAUGCAUGUGCAUAUCUUAGAGACCACUGUAAGCAGAUGAAAACACUAGCAGGAGUGCAAUAAAACUUGUAAUGUAGCAAGAACUAUGGAGAUAAUGGAGUUAUAUAAAACAUGAACUAUUGAAAAAGAUGCAUCAGAAAAGGUUUAACAAAAGGACCCAUCGAAGGGAAGAUGGGAAGUCCAGAGAUUCGGAGG